AUUGAACGCUGGCGGCAGGCCUAACACAUGCAAGUCGAACGAGUGGCGGACGGGUGAGUAAUGUCUGGGAAACUGCCCGAUGGAGGGGGAUAACUACUGGAAACGGUAGCUAAUACCGCAAACCAUCGGAUGUGCACAGAUGGGAUUAGCUAGUAGGUGGGGUAACGGCUCACCUAGGCGACGAGCCCUAGCUGGUCUGGGAGGAGUCCCAUCGACACUGGAACUGAGACACGGGCCAGACUCCUACGGGAGGCAGCAGUGGGGAAUAUUGCACAAGGGGCGCAAGCCUGAUGCAGCCAUGCAGCGUGUAUGAAGAAGGCCUUCGGGUUGUAAAGUACUUUCAGCGAUGAGGCGUUACUCGCAGAAGAAGCACCGGCUAACUCCGUGCCAGCAGCCGCGGUAAUUC
rnacentral:rRNA from 1 species